GGUUGCCCCCUCCUGGACAACAAUAGGACUGGUGGAGCUUGGCAGGGGGAAGGACAUGGAGCAUCUCUAGGGGAGGAGGAGGAGGAGGAAGAAGGAGAGCAGAGAAGGACAGGAACAAGGACAGAGGAAGACAAAGUCCCGCAGAGGCAGUCUUAGGGACAGUGACAGCCUCCUGGGGCGAAAGGAUCACACAGCCAGGCUUCCGGGUCUGGGAGAGAAUCGGAGGUGGGAGGAGCAGGUGGGCAAACAGAGAUUCCCCUGUACCCUGCGGAGAUCAAGCGACCAGGGCCAGGGAGGACUCGGAGCUAGCGACGCACCCCACUGAGGGCAGAGCCCAGCAUCCCCAGAGCAGCAGGCCGUGGGUGGCCAGCUGCACUGACUCCCUUUGUCCUCUCUCACGGCCAACCCCAGCAUCCUCGCUGCUCUCUGACCCGGAGAAGGAUUCCACGGAAGACAACAAUUCCGACGAAAGGAGCCACCCUGCGCCUCUCUCGAGAAGCUUCCCUUCGGUGGACAUGGUGCAAACGACAAGGGAAGCAGAAGAAGAGGAGGACUCGGGAACGGGCUGCGCCACAGGACAGUGUGCCCACCACCCCGAGGCACCAGAGGCUCCUGGGGUGCUCCGACAAAGGGAGCCAGGAGGGCCCUGGGGCCCCACUUGCGGCUCCGAUUUGGGCCCGGAGGAGGAUUCGGCAUGAGCACACAAGGAAACACGCCUGCAGGGACGGCUCUCUUACGCCUGACCUCCGAAGGCCAAAGAGAAGACUUCAGGGCAGCCCACCCGAGGACGGCACUGGAGCCCCGAGGACGAGACGAGAGGACCCUCUGAGUCGGCCGCCAAACCCAGAGUUGGCUGCCCGGGCCCUGCCAAUGACGGACACUUGAAGCACGAGGCAACCACCUGGGCCCACAACAGUCCGUUGUGUGGGGAGACUGGGCCCACCUGGGACUGG